AACGAACGCUGGCGGCAUGCCUAACACAUGCAAGUCGAACGAAACCUUCGGGUCUAUUGGCGCACGGGUGCGUAACGCGUGGGAACCUGCCCUUAGGUUCGGAAUAACUCCCCGAAAGGGGUGCUAAUACCGGAUAAUGUCUUCGGACCAAAGAUUUAUCGCCUUUGGAUGGGCCCUCGUUGGAUUAGCUAGUUGGUAGGGUAAAAGCCUACCACGGCGACGAUCCAUAGCUGGUCUGAGAGGAUGAUCAGCCACACUGGGACUGAGACACGGCCCAGACUCCUACGGGAGGCAGCAGUGGGGAAUAUUGGACAAUGGGCGAAAGCCUGAUCCAGCAAUGCCGCGUGAGUGAUGAAGGCCUUAGGGUUGUAAAGCUCUUUUACCCGGGAUGAUAAUGACAGUACCGGGAGAAUAAGCUCCGGCUAACUCCGUG
rnacentral:rRNA from 1 species